GCCUUGGUGGUUUAGUGGUCAAGACGCUCGCCUGUUGAUCAGGAGGACGUGGGUUCAAUCCCAGCCGAGGUA
rfam:Asian citrus Psyllid, Diaphorina citri - Florida Strain, whole genome shotgun sequence.